rnacentral:rRNA from 1 species
GAUGAACGCUGGCGGCGUGCCUAAUACAUGCAAGUCGAGCGAACGGACGAGAAGCUUGCUUCUCUGAUGUUAGCGGCGGACGGGUGAGUAACACGUGGAUAACCUACCUAUAAGACUGGGAUAACUUCGGGAAACCGGAGCUAAUACCGGAUAAUAUUUUGAACCGCAUGGUUCAAAAGUGAAAGACGGUCUUGCUGUCACUUAUAGAUGGAUCCGCGCUGCAUUAGCUAGUUGGUAAGGUAACGGCUUACCAAGGCAACGAUGCAUAGCCGACCUGAGAGGGUGAUCGGCCACACGGGAACUGAGACACGGUCCAGACUCCUACGGGAGGCAGCAGUAGGGAAUCUUCCGCAAUGGGCGAAAGCCUGACGGAGCAACGCCGCGUGAGUGAUGAAGGUCUUCGGAUCGUAAAACUCUGUUAUUAGGGAAGAACAUAUGUGUAAGUACCUGUGCACAUCUUGACGGUACCUAAUCAGAAAGCCACGGCUAACUACGUG